AGAAAUCAAAAACCGAUUGGGGAAAAACAAGAAUAACAUCAGCAGGGCAAUACGAACAUUUUACUGGAAAUGAAUGUGGCAUUGACGAAACUUUGGAAAUAAAGGACGAAAUUAUUGAAGAUCACGAUACUGCAGAUCAAAAAUACAACAAAGAACAUGAGUCAAAAUUGUUCGUUGAUAUAAAACAAACUAAGCAUUUGUCUUUUAAAAUUAAACGGCUUAGUCAAAAUAAGAAGAAAAUUCAGGAAUCAGAACAGGAAGCGGUAAAGAAAUACCAAUGCGAAAAGUGUGCUCGGACUUAUAAGUUGAAAAUACUUUUAAAUCGUCAUCGAAAGUUCGAAUGCGGCGUCAACCCACAGUUCAGAUGUAAACUCUGUGACAAACGAUUUAAACAGAAAUGUCAUAUGAAUAACCAUUUUAAUCGCGUGCAUAACAAGACAAACUCAAAUAAACCGGUAUUGAUCCAGCAAUGCGACCAAUGUCCUAGAAGUUACACUUUGCUCAGCAAUUUAAAUCGGCAUAAACUUUUGCAGCACUCAGAAAUUAAACCACAAUUUAUUUGUGACUAUUGUGGCUACAUAACGAAUUCUAAAAGUCACGUGUCAGCGCACAUUACUGCUUCUCACUUGAAGACAUCGGAAACAAAAUAUAAUUGUAACCAAUGCUCGAGACGUUAUACUUGGAUAAGUACUUUGCAUCAGCAUAAACGUUUAGUGCACUCAGGCUUUAAGCCAAAUUUCAUUUGCGACUAUUGUGGUCACAAAACGAAUCGGAAAAAUUGCUUGUCAAAACACAUUACUUUACGCCAUUUGAAAUAAUAAUAGUGGACAUGAAACAUUAAACUUCAGAAGAUUUAUAAUAUUUGUUAAAAAAAACUCAUCACGCCGAAAAAAAUUGUGUUGAGGUUACAGGAUUUUCAGUUACAAUAGGGACAGCAUAGAUUUUCUGUAAAAAUUACAGAAUUUUCUGUAGUUAACGAAAUUUUCAGUUAUUUUCUUUUACGGACAGUUUCUGUAAUAUUUAAUAAACUUUCCUUUUAAAUUAACAUCUUCACAUUGGGAAAUAUAAUAAAAAAGUCUGUAAAUGUUACAGAAAAUAUCCAUGAAUUUAUAAAAUAACUGACAAUUUUGUAAACACUCCAGAAAAUUAAGUAAUCCUUACAGGAAGUCUAUGAUGUCCCUAUUUUAACUGAAAAUCUUGUAACCUUAACAGACUUUUCUUCUACGUGAUUAUUUAGAAUCUCUAAUAAAAUCUCUAAUUCUCUAAUAAACUAAGAAAACUUUCCUUUUUGUAAAAACCAAUAUAUAAUGCUCUAUUUUACUGUUAGAAGGUUCAGCCAGAGUAAAUUUACUCUUGUUGGAAGUAGGCCUGAAUUACGUUUCUUAACAUUGGAAUGUGUUAUUAUACGUUUUAAUCAUUUGGUGAAAUGUAGGAAUAAUUGAAUGGAUUUCUUAUAAUUUUCUUUCUAAUCUUCUAGCAAGUUUUGCUAUUAAGUCAUAAAAUAAAAAUAGUAUUGUAAUAGUUUAUAAUUACGUAAAAAGGUGGGUUGGGGCAUAAACAGGGUCGGGGGCGGUGCCCCAGACAGAUUCAAAACAUCUGAUGAGUUAUAGGUUAUGUAGUAAUCAAAUAUAAAAGAGGCACGGGAAUUUCCGAGUUUUUACUGAUUCUUUUUAAUAUCAAGAGAUGGCGGCAGGCGUUGAUUGGCAUGAAAACAAAAAUUAUUUGCGUUGACAAAAUAUCAAGGACUUCUAUGAAACGCAUGUAUGCCAUAAAAGUAUUAUCCGUUUUUUAUAAAGACCAUCGUGAAAUAUUUUCGUUUCCAUCAUUUAUUUUAAGAAUUUUUUUUAUCGUCGGUAGAUAAAAUUAUUAUUUAUGUGUUUUACAGUUAAUAAAGACCUAUUAAUGCGUUGUGAUUAGUCUAUUUUUUAAAUUCUUUUUAAGGCGUAGGGCAGAAUCCUUUUUUAAAUGCAAUAGAAUACUUAUUCUGCGACAGAGGAUACAAACAAAGUGUUUUACUAUAUGUUAACACGAACAAAGUGUUUUGUAUUAACACGGACGUUUAGAAUAUGCAGGUCUGAAACCACAAUUUAUUUGCGACUAUUGUGGCCACAAAACGAGUGAGGAAAGUUACUUAUCAAUACACAUUACUUCAAGCCAUCUAAAUUAAUAACGUACACAAAACAUAAAACUUUAGGAAAUUUUAAAUAUCGUUUGAAAAACUUAUUUUUUCACAGCAGAUCAAUUAAUUCAGUAAUAAACUGAGAAUAAUUUUCUUUGCAUUACAUUCCAUAGUUGUAUACCUUAAGAUACUUUUCUUAAUAACCAAUAAAUAAUACUCUGCUUUGCUUAUUCAAGGUUUUCUACGAGUAAAUUUACUCUCCUUGGGAGUUGAGAUAAAUUACUUUUCCUAAGAGUGUAAUGUGUAAUGCGUUUUAUUUAUUUGGUAAAAGUGGGUGUUAAUGUAUUAUUUUUUUAACUUUUUGCUUCUGAUCAACUGGCAAGUGCUAUUACUAAAUCAUAAAACAAAAUAAAUCAUUUCCGUUAUUUCUGAAGAGUAUUGUAAAAUGAUUUCGUUUAAAUCAUUUAUGUUAAGAAAAGAAAGGUCAAUGGAUACAGGCGUAAAUGCCAAAUUUCGGAUGUGUUUUAUUUUCAUAAAAUAAUUCAAUCUAACUCAUAUUUCUGUCGAAAAUUAUGUUCCAGGUCGAUUCUGAAGUGGGUUAAAAUUAAAGAUUGGUAUUUUUUGAUAAAGUAACUUUAUUUUUUGCUUGUUAUUUUGACUAUGCAAUACACCUAAGUAAUAGCUCGAAACUACUUUUCUGUUUUUUUAGUAAUUGAAAAAAUAACAAAGUUAUUCAACUCAUGGUUUUAUGAAGCCUAACAGUACCUCGAACCGUUUUUGCAUUUUGUUGCUUAAAAUUAAUUACGGCAAAGUUAUAUAUUUUAUGUUUCUUAUGUAAAACUUAAGUUUUGGCACUUACGCCUGUAUGCAGUGUGGCCCUUUAAAUGUUUAUGUAACUGUAAGUAAAAUUAUUAUAUGUUUCAGAGUUAAUAAUUUACGAGUUAUUCACUGUGUUUGCUGUUUCUUUUAAAUCUGUAAAAAAUGUAGAGCAGGAUUCUUUUGUAAAUAAAAUACAAUAACUGAAAUCUUAAUA